rnacentral:rRNA from 1 species
GUCCGCCUCACCGCGUGCACUGGUCCGGCCGGGCCUUUCCUCCUGGGGAGCCGCAUGCCCUUCACUGGGUGUGUCGGGGAACCAGGACUUUUACUUUGAAAAAAUUAGAGUGCUCAAAGCAGGCCUAUGCUCGAAUACAUUAGCAUGGAAUAAUAGAAUAGGACGUGUGGUUCUAUUUUGUUGGUUUCUAGGACCGCCGUAAUGAUUAAUAGGGAUAGUCGGGGGCAUCAGUAUUCAAUUGU